rnacentral:rRNA from 1 species
UACGUAGGGACCAAGCGUUGUCCGGAAUCAUUGGGCGUAAAGAGCGUGUAGGCGGCCUGUUAAGUCGAACGUGAAAUCCCCGGGCUCAACCCGGGAACUGCGUCCGAUACUGGCAGGCUUGAAUCCGGGAGAGGGAUGCGGAAUUCCAGGUGUAGCGGUGAAAUGCGCAGAUAUCAGGAGGAACACCGAUGGCGAAGGCAGGUCUCUGGGCAUUAACUGACGCUGAGGAGCGAAAGCAUGGGGAGCGAACAGG